AUGCUAAAUGGGUUGAAUUCAUUGAAACUUUCCCUUAUGUCAUUAAACACAAGAAGGGUAAAGAAAAUGUUAUUGCUGAUGCAUUGUCUCGUCGCUAUACUAUGCUUUCACAACUUGACUUCAAAAUAUUUGGUUUGGAGACCAUCAAAGAUCAAUAUGUGCAUGAUGCUGAUUUUAAAGAUGUAUUGCAGAAUUGUAAAGAAGGAAGAACCUGGAACAAGUUUGUCGUUAAUGAUGGAUUUGUGUUCCGUGCUAACAAGCUAUGCAUUCCAGCUAGCUCUCUUCGUCUUUUGUUGUUGCAGGAGGCGCAUGGAGGAGGAUUAA
rnacentral:rRNA from 1 species